CUGAGCUGGUGAUGAGAUGGUUAUCCCUGUCCGAAGUGUUCCGCUGUGGAAACGUAACUCUGAGGCUCAG